ensembl:lncRNA
CGGUCUGCAUGGAGCAGCCAGAGCUGCCGGUCUGCAUGGAGCAGCCAGAGCUGCCGGUCUGCAUGGAGCAGCCAGAGCUGCCGGUCUGCAUGAAGCAGCCAGAGCUGCCGGUCUGCAUGAAGCAGCCAGAGCUGCCAGUCUGCAAGGAGCUGCCAGUCUGCAAGGAGCUGCCAGUCUGCACGGAGCUGCCAGUCUGCACGGAGCUGCCAGUCUGCAAGGAGCUGUCAGUCUGCAAGGAGCUGCCAGUCUGCACGGAGCCGCCAGAGCUGCCAGUCUGUAAGAAGCCGCCAGAGCCGUCAGCCUACAUGGAGCAACCAGAGCCGCCAGUCAGCAUGGAGCAGCCAGAUCUUUCAGUCUGCCAGGAUCCGCCAGUCAGCCAGACUCUUCCCGAUCCUUCCCAGUCAGCCAGACUCUUCCCGAUCCGCCAGUCAGCCAGACUCUUCCCGAUCCGCCAGUCAGCCAGACUCUUCCCGAUCCGCCAGUCAGCCAGACUCUUCCCGAUCCGCCAGUCAGCCAGACUCUUCCCGAUCCGCCAGUCAGCCAGACUCUUCCAGAUCCGCCAGUCAGCCAGACUCUUCCAGAUCCGCCAGUCAGCCAGACUCUUCCAGAUCCGCCAGUCAACCAGACUCUUCCAGAUCCGCCAGUCAACCAGAUCUGCCAGUCAGCCAGACUCUUCCAGAUCUGCUAGUCAACCAGACUCUUCCAGAUCUGCUAGUCAACCAGACUCUUCCAGAUCUGCCAGUCAACCAGACUCUUCCAGAUCUGCCAGUCAACCAGACUCUUCCAGAUCCGCCAGUCAGCCGGAAUCUGCCAGGAUCCGCCAGUCGGCCAGGAUCCGCCAGUCGGCCAGGAUCCGCCAGUCGACCAGGAUCCGCCAGCCGGCCAGGAUCUGGUAGAUCCAUCAACCUGCCUGAGCUUCCUCUCACUCCCGAGCUUCCUCUCACUCCCGAGCUUCCUCUCACUCCCGAGCUUUCUCUCAGUCCCGAGCUUCCCCUCAGUCCAGAGCUUCCCCUCAGUCCCGAUCUGCUCCUCAGUCCAGUGGGGUUCUGGGUGAGGACUACUAGGCCAUGAUCGGCGGCGAGGGUGGACUAUCCAGGGACGCGAGGAGAAGGGACUAAGACAUUGACUGAGUGGGGUCCACGUCCCGCGCCGGAGCCGCCACCAUGGACAGACGCCCACCCGAACCCUCCCUAUUGUUUUGAGGUGCGUUCGGGAGUCCGCACCUUAGGGGAGGGGGUUCUGUCACGCCCUGGUCGAAGUAUUUUGUGUUUAUCUUCAUGUAUUGGGUCAGGCCAGGGUGUGGCAUGGGGUUUUUGUAUGUGGUGUGUAUAUAUUGGGAUUGUAGCUAGUGGGGUGAACUAGUAAAGUCUAUGGCUGUCUGGAGUGGUUCUCAAUCAGAGGCAGGUGUUUAUCGUUGUCUCUGAUUGGGAACCAUAUUUAGGCAGCCAUAUUCUUUGAGUUUGUCGUGGGUGAUUGUCCUUAGUGUCGUUGUUCCUAUCUCUUUAUUUAUUUACACAAGUAUAGGCUGUUUCGGUUUUCGUUACGUUCUUUGUUUUGUAGUGUUUUGUGUUUAUUCGUGUUUCACGUUGUUCAUUAAACAUGGAUCGCAAUCUACACGCUGCAUUUUGGUCUGACUAUCCUUCACACCUAGAAAACCGUAACAAAGGUUCUGAAAAUAUAUUAGCAGAUGCUUUGUCUCGUGUGUAAAUGUGAUUAUUUUUGGUAUGUUUUGUAAAUACUGUGGUCGCAAUCACCAUGGGUUGCUCUUUUAAGGGUGGGAGUGUUACGGAUACAGGUAUCCUGUGUGUGUGUAUCCUGUGUGUGUGUUUCUUUUCUCUCCUUUGCCACCUGUGAGGGGAGAUCAUCAUUCCUCAAUCAGUCACCACGCAGUCAUCAAUCAGAGGACACACCUCCUCCUGUUUCCAUUACCCAAUCACAUCCCCUUGGUUUAAAAACCCAUUCAGUUUCCUCUGGAGCUCAAUCUCUGUCUCGACCCCACUGUGGUUCAAUAUCUCUGUGUCUCUCUCUCUCGCUAUAUCUAUCUCUUUGGAUUGAGCUGUCUUUUGUUUUUGCAACUACAUGUCACUUUGUCCUCACCUGUGAGUAUUGUUAUGGUGUUUGACUAUUUGUUUGAUGGUGGGAAAAGGGGGUGCCAAGUCGCCCAUGGGCAUACAUUACCUGUAGGACAACUUUGUCUAAAUAUCCUAGUUAGAACUGGGUGGACCACCUGCUGUAUUUUUGGUUAGUUAGUUAGCUGUAUUGAAGUAGGCUAGUCUAGCUUAGGGGUGUUUAGAAAUAAACCAUGAGAGUUUGACGGUAAAUUUAGUUGUCUGUAGUUAUUUGUUCUCACUGUUAUAAUUUGCAUGAGUUAUGUUACGGGUCUCGUUGCCAUCCCCCCCUAGACUGCAGAGCCAAUGGGAUUCGUAACAGCUGGUUAGGAGACUCCGCUAGAGACACUGUGAUUGUGAUGAACUGAGAGAAUAUUAGGGUAGCACUGUGAUUCAUUAAUCAUAUGCUGUCUUUCCUGAUUCUCUGUUCUUACCUCCUUUCCCUUUCGGUCUUCUACAUCUCUCUCCCCACCCCUUUUUAAUAAUACACACCAUAUGUGCAUUGAAGUACAGAUUGGACUUGUAUUUAUAUUACAAUUAUAAUAUUUAUAAUGCAUGUAUUAUGUAUUUAUAACACCUGGAUAAUGAACUUCUUUCAAUAAAGCGUUUAACUU